GGGGGCGAUCGGAUUCGACUGGUUCUCCGCGAGGUGUGUGCGGCGUGUCGUGGUUGAUCAGUUGGCCACGUAAAAAGCUGAUCAAAAACAUAAUUGCCAACAAGCAAUUCUCAAUGGCCGCCUAAUUAGGCGACCCCGGCCAAGGAAUCCCUGUCUGAGGAGUCCGGCAGCCGGUCACAAAAUCGGACUGGCCCCUGUUCACUGUUCGCUACGGCAGGGGUGAGACUCGUUGUGAACUGGUUUCUGGAGGGUUUGCUGUUUGCCCCAAAGGAAAUGAGAACCAAGCAAGCUGCUACACACGUAGAUGCUGCAUUUCAGGGUUCGCAGGACGGGGGUUCAAUUCCCCCCGCCUCCAUCA
rnacentral:tmRNA from 1 species